rnacentral:rRNA from 1 species
AGCAGCCGCGGUAAUUCCAGCUCCAAUAGCGUAUAUUAAAGUUGUUGCAGUUAAAAAGCUCGUAGUUGAAUUUCGGGGUUCUACCGUUGGUCGGGCUUUGUCUGUACUGGCGUGUAGAAUUUCUACCUUCUGGGGAACUAUCAUGUUAUUAAUUUAGCGUGGUAGGAAACCAGGACCUUUACCUUGAAAAAAUUAGAGUGUUCAAAGCAGGCUUAUGUCUGAAUACAUUAGCAUGGAAUAAUAAAAUAGGACGGUGGUCCUGUUUUGUUGGUUUCUGAAUCACCGUAAGGAUUAAUAGGGAUAGUUGGGGGCAUUAGUAUUCAAUUGUCAGAGGUGAAAUUCUUGGAUUUAUUGAAGACUAACUACUGCGAAAGCAUUUGCCAAGGAUGUUUUCAUUAAUCAAGAACGAAAGUUAGGGAUCGAAGACGAUCAGAUACCGUCGUAGUCUUAACCAUAAACUAUGCCGACUAGGGAUCGGAUGAUGUUAAUUUUUAAUGUACUCUAUUCGGCGCCUUACGGA